AUUGAACGCUGGCGGCAGGCCUAACACAUGCAAGUCGAACGGUAACAGGAAGCAGCUUGCUGCUUUGCUGACGAGUGGCGGACGGGUGAGUAAUGUCUGGGAAACUGCCUGAUGGAGGGGGAUAACUACUGGAAACGGUAGCUAAUACCGCAUAACGUCGCAAGACCAAAGAGGGGGACCUUCGGGCCUCUUGCCAUCGGAUGUGCCCAGAUGGGAUUAGCUAGUAGGUGGGGUAAAGGCUCACCUAGGCGACGAUCCCUAGCUGGUCUGAGAGGAUGACCAGCCACACUGGAACUGAGACACGGUCCAGACUCCUACGGGAGGCAGCAGUGGGGAAUAUUGCACAAUGGGCGCAAGCCUGAUGCAGCCAUGCCGCGUGUAUGAAGAAGGCCUUCGGGUUGUAAAGUACUUUCAGCGGGGAGGAAGGGAGUAAAGUUAAUACCUUUGCUCAUUGACGUACCCGCAGAAGAGCC
rnacentral:rRNA from 1 species